rnacentral:rRNA from 1 species
UACGUAGGGCGCAAGCGUUGUCCGGAAUUACUGGGCGUAAAGCGCGCGUAGGCGGCGCGAUACGAGCGGUGUGAAAGCCCCCGGCUCAACUGGGGAGGGUCACCGCUAACGGUCGUGCUGUGAGUGCAGGAGAGGGAUGUGGAACUCCGGGAGUAGCGGUGAAAUGCGUAGAUAUGCGGAGGAACACCGAUGGCGAAGGCAAUCCCCUGGGCCUGCACUGACGCUCAUGCACGAAAGCGUGGGGAGCAAACAGG